rnacentral:rRNA from 1 species
CCUACGGGGGGCAGCAGUCGAGAAUCAUUCACAAUGGGGGAAACCCUGAUGGUGCGACGCCGCGUGGGGGAAUGAAGGUCUUCGGAUUGUAAACCCCUGUCAUGUGGGAGCAAAUUAAAAAGAUAGUACCACAAGAGGAAGAGACGGCUAACUCUGUGCCAGCAGCCGCGGUAAUACAGAGGUCUCAAGCGUUGUUCGGAAUCACUGGGCGUAAGGCGUGCGUAGGCUGUUUCGUAAGUCGUGUGUGGAAGGCGCGGGCUCAACCCGCGGACGGCACAUGAUACUGCGAGACUAGAGUAAUGGAGGGGGAACCGGAAUUCUCGGUGUAGCAGUGAAAUGCGUAGAUAUCGAGAGGAACACUCGUGGCGAAGGCGGGUUCCUGGACAUUAACUGACGCUGAGGCACGAAGGCCAGGGGAGCGAAAGGGAUUAGAUACCCCAGUAGUC